GAAUUUUGGACAAUGGGCGCAAGCCUGAUCCAGCCAUGCCGCGUGCGGGAAGAAGGCCUUCGGGUUGUAAACCGCUUUUGUCAGGGAAGAAACGCUCUGGGCUAAUACCCCGGGGUAAUGACGGUACCUGAAGAAUAAGCACCGGCUAACUACGUGCCAGCAGCCGCGGUAAUACGUAGGGUGCAAGCGUUAAUCGGAAUUACUGGGCGUAAAGCGUGCGCAGGCGGUGAUGCAAGACAGAUGUGAAAUCCCCGGGCUCAACCUGGGGACUGCAUUUGUGACUGCAUCGCUGGAGUGCGGCAGAGGGGGAUGGAAUUCCGCGUGUAGCAGUGAAAUGCGUAGAUAUGCGGAGGAACACCGAUGGCGAAGGCAGUCCCCUGGGCCUGCACUGACGCUCAUGCACGAAAGCGUGGGGAGCAAACAGG
rnacentral:rRNA from 1 species